rnacentral:rRNA from 1 species
UGGGGAAUAUUGCACAAUGGGCGCAAGCCUGAUGCAGCCAUGCCGCGUGUAUGAAGAAGGCCUUCGGGUUGUAAAGUACUUUCAGUCGGGAGGAAGGUGGUAAGGUUAAUAACCUUAUCAAUUGACGUUACCGACAGAAGAAGCACCGGCUAACUCCGUGCCAGCAGCCGCGGUAAUACGGAGGGUGCAAGCGUUAAUCGGAAUUACUGGGCGUAAAGCGCACGCAGGCGGUUGAUUGAGUCAGAUGUGAAAUCCCCGGGCUUAACCCGGGAAUUGCAUCUGAUACUGGUAAGCUAGAGUCUUGUAGAGGGGGGUAGAAUUCCAUGUGUAGCGGUGAAAUGCGUAGAGAUGUGGAGGAAUACCGGUGGCGAAGGCGGCCCCCUGGACAAAGACUGACGCUCAGGUGCGAAAGCGUGGGGAGCAAACAGG